ensembl:lncRNA
GUUGAGUGCCAACCCCAAAUCUGAAGGAAAAGGUGGUCCUGACCCACGGGCACAGAGCUUUACAGAGCUUUUGAUCCUCCCCACCAUGCUGAGAGUCAGAAGAAUAAUCAUGAAAGACAGCACAUUAAAAAGCAGAGAAAUCACCUUGCUGACAAAGGUCCGUCUUUCAAGCCGUGGUUUUUCCAGUACUUGUGUACAGUUGUGAGAGCUGGGCCAUAAACAAGGCUGAGUGCAAAGAACUGACGCUUUCCGACUGUGGUCCUGCAGGAGACUCUUGAGAGACCCUCGCACAGCAAGACCAAACCAGUCAAUCCCAAAGGAAAUGGAGGGUGAGAUGUAUACAGAGAGUAUCAUGGAAAUUUGCAAUGCCAUAUGUAAAAUAGAUGGCCAAUGGGAAUUUGCUGUAAGACUCAGGGAACUCAAACAUGGGCUCUGUGACAAUCUAGAAGGUUGGGAUGGUGAGUGAGAUGGGAAGGAGGUUCGGGAGGGAGGGGACGUGGGUGUAAAUACGGCUGAUUCUUGUUGAUGAUUCACAGAAAGCCACAAAAUUCUGUAAAGCAUUUAUCCUUCAAUUAAAAAAUAAAUAAAGUGGGAAAAAAAAACUAAAGAAAAUCAACCCUGAAUAUUCAUUGGAAGGACUGAUGCUGAAACUGAAGCUCCAAUAUUUUGGCCACCUGAUGCUAAGAGCUGACUCAUUAGAAAAGACCCUGAUGCUGGAAAAGAUUGAGGGCAGGAGGAGAAGGGGACGACAGAGGACGAGAUGGCUGGAUGGCAUCAUCGACUCAGUGGGCAUGAAUUUGAGCAAACUCCGGGAGAGAGUGGAGGACAGAGGAGCCUGGUGUGCUGCAGUCCGUGGGGCCGCGAACAGUCGGACGUGACUUAGUGACCAAGCGACAGAAACGGCAACAGGGAGAGGGAUCUUCAACCACUUCUGUAUUUGCGCUAUUUUGCAUUUACUAAACACUAAAAAUCUCGUGUUUCACUGAGCAGGCACUCCUAAAUUAACUUCUUGGCAUGUUAUGACAGUUACUUGGGC